rnacentral:rRNA from 1 species
GUCGAACGAUGAUCCCAGCUUGCUGGGGGAUUAGUGGCGAACGGGUGAGUAACACGUGAGUAACCUGCCCUUGACUCUGGGAUAAGCCUGGGAAACUGGGUCUAAUACCGGAUACGACCAUCUGGCGCAUGUCAUGGUGGUGGAAAGCUUUUGUGGUUUUGGAUGGACUCGCGGCCUAUCAGCUUGUUGGUGGGGUAAUGGCCUACCAAGGCGACGACGGGUAGCCGGCCUGAGAGGGUGACCGGCCACACUGGGACUGAGACACGGCCCAGACUCCUACGGGAGGCAGCAGUGGGGAAUAUUGCACAAUGGGCGCAAGCCUGAUGCAGCGACGCCGCGUGAGGGAUGACGGCCUUCGGGUUGUAAACCUCUUUCAGUAGGGAAGAAGCGUAAGUGACGGUACCUGCAGAAGAAGCGCCGGCUAACUACGUGCCAGCAGCCGCGGUAAUACGUAGGGCGCAAGCGUUAUCCGGAAUUAUUGGGCGUAAAGAGCUCGUAGGCGGUUUGUCGCGUCUGCUGUGAAAGACCGGGGCUCAACUCCGGUUCUGCAGUGGGUACGGGCAGACUAGAGUGCAGUAGGGGAGACUGGAAUUCCUGGUGUAGCGGUGAAAUGCGCAGAUAUCAGGAGGAACACCGAUGGCGAAGGCAGGUCUCUGGGCUGUAACUGACGCUGAGGAGCGAAAGCAUGGGGAGCGAACAGGAUUAGAUACCCUGGUAGA